CAUUAAUCACAGGCACAUAAUUAAUUAAGCUUUGGUGGAGAAUGCGGGCAUUGAUCCCGCUACUUCUCGCAUGCUAAGCUCUACCAUUUGAGCUAAUCCCCCAACUCGAAAUGAAAAUUUGUGUACUUGGCCUAAGUGCCCCCCUGCAUUUAACGCCUUUACAAACUUCCCAGGAACAUGAAAAACAUUCUACAAUAUUGACAAUUAUCUAAUCAUCCUAAGAAAACAAAGGCAGUAGGACGAGGUGGCCGAGUGGUUAAGGCGAUGGACUGCUAAUCCAUUGUGCUCAGAUCAUCAAGAAAAAACACAUUAAUGCCAUUCAACAAGUCCUUUUGCAAUGACACGUUGGUGCAUCCUGCUGAUUCAAAGUGAGCAAUGUAUGUUUACAAAUCUGGUCGUUUUCCAUUAAUCACAGGCACAUAAUUAAUUAAGCUUUGGUGGAGAAUGCGGGCAUUGAUCCCGCUACUUCUCGCAUGCUAAGCUCUACCAUUUGAGCUAUUCCCCCAACUCGAAAUGAAAAUUUGUGUACUUGGCCUAAGUGCCCCCCUGCAUUUAACGCCUUUACAAACUUCCCAGGAACAUGAAAAACAUUCUACAAUAUUGACAAUUAUCUAAUCAUCCUAAGAAAACAAAGGCAGUAGGACGAGGUGGCCGAGUGGUUAAGGCGAUGGACUGCUAAUCCAUUGUGCUCUGCACGCAUGGGUUCAAAUCCCAUUCUCGUCGCAUUUACCUGAUGCUCGCUUACCAUGUCAGUGUUUGGAGAAAGGCUCAGAUCGUCAAGAAAACCUCAUUGAUGCAUUCAACGAGUCAUUUUGCAACGACACGCAGGUGCAUCCUGCUGAUUUCGAUUGUGCAGCAGUUGUUUAUCAAUCUGGUCAUUUUCCACUAUUCGCAGGCACAAAAUAAAUUAAGUUUUAGUGGAGAAUGCGGUCGUUGAUCCCGCUACUUCUCGCAUGCUAAGCGAG
ensembl:lncRNA